UUACAGUAGAUUGAGGCUACCACAAGGGGGCCUGCUAUGUCCUCCACAAAAGUCCAAGGAGCCUGUGAGGGAUUUAGAAGCUCAGCUCUAGGAAGCCGUCCUCUGACUUUAGGAGAGGAGCAGUGCAGUCAGGUCCGGGCUGCAUGCUAAUCAGGAAGCGGAUGGAAGUCACCCUCCAAAGAAUCAUCCCAGACAGCCAGCUAGGGGUGGGACAGAUUACUUUCAGUCUUUUACAUGUGAAUAUCCAGUUUUGUACCUUCCAGCCCCACUGUGACAAGAGAAAGGAUGGAGAAUGGAGUGGGCACUGGGCAGUGAGCAAGCGGGCAUGUGUGGAUUCCUUCAGCAGAAUUUUCCCACGGGCUGAAGCAGCAGAAUUUCAAACUAGCAAAGCUUUGGGUCAGUGUUGCAAUCCAGUUCAAGUUCCUUUGAAGUGAUGUCUCCUCCUGCUUUGGGAUCAUCCAAAAUCGUUUGUGUGGACGCUACCUCCUCACUCUUUCCCUGCCUCACAUUUUCCGGACUUUUCUUGCCAAGCCACAUCGACUUGUUUUUUCAUAGAAAAUUCCAGCAGCCAGCCAUCUCCCGCUGUCCUCACACCUGCUUGCCCUCCCGUUUUGCUACUGUUUAUGGAAUAACGUGAGCACCCCAUCCCGUGGGGAGGCUGAGCAAAUGUGGCUGCUUUACCAACUAUUCCCUUGAGCUUCCAACCACCAGAACUGGGAGGUCAACUGGGCAGGACACCUGACCCUGGGGAGGCAUAAUUCCUGGUUCUCAUUGCUUGGAGCAGUGGACUUCUGAAUCAGCAAACAACUGGGUACAGUGGCUUAGAGUCACAAGAAGACCAUAAAUCCAUUCCAGAAAUGGCCACAUCUGUGUUUUAGAGAUAUGGUGUUUUCUUUUAGCUGUCUCAUUUAAAACUAUCCAAAAAUUAUAGCCAUUUUAAUAGCUCUCUCCAUUUAAAAUUAUUUAUAGGUAUUGGAACUAAGCAACAUUUUCUAGCCUUUGUCAUAUACUUAAAGUAUGCAUAUUUUCCCCAAAAUUGAACUUUAUGAAGGUGCCUGAAUAAUUUUCAGUUCCAAGGUAAGCCUCCCAUGACAGUAUGAUACACACCCACUCACAGGGACAAGGUCUCAGUAAACAGAACGCCCCUGGGACAAGGACUAUGUGACAGUCACUGUUUUAACCUCAGACACCGUUCAUCAGGUACUCAUAAGUGUUUCUUAAAAUCAAAAUGAAAUAACAAAGUUUGCAGCAAAAUUAGGAGUUUUGUGGAAAUCUUUAUAGUAAUUUAUAGUCUUUUAGAGUCUACAGUAAGGUAUAGUCUUAUAGAAAUUUUUGAGGCAAAGUACACAAGAAAAUAAGAUAUAGACAUAAAGUUUAGGAUGAAGUUUGUACUAAACCUUUUAGCAACUUUUACUAAGCGUUUAUAACAGUCAAGUGAAUUGGAGAACUUCAGCUCAUAGAAAACUGUGCUUUCCUUCCUGGUGUGGUGGUCUUUCCAGUGCUGUUCAUGUUCUUAAUGAUGUCUCUCCUACGGACACCCUUGUCAUUGUGACUCAGAUGUGUUCCUUUUAUAACCAUUUAACUUAUUGCAGUAGAAAUUGACCAGUUAGUAGUUCAGGUUACAAAAUUAAAGCAUACAGAGUGACAUUCAAAUAGUGACACUGCCAACAGUUUUGCUCAAUGAUCCAACAAAAACUUAGUAAUAUGGUUAUCAGUCCUACACACUUGUUUUUUAUCUUAAAGAGGAUAGGAUUAAACAUACCAAAACAGAACAAAACAGCUCAUAAAGAAACAAGUUAAAGAAAUAUGGAUUUCAAAGCAAGUCCACUGGAGAUCUUCACUAUCUAUCUUACUGUCUCUAGUUUUCUUCCAAAUAGUUGUCCCCAUCUUCACACACAUUGAAUACAUACUGCAUAUUAUACAUACUGCAUAUAAUCAAAUCAUUACAGGAUGAUGAAGGCUUUUUCGGUCUUCAAGACCUGACACUGGGGAAGUCAAUAAUGACUACCAUAAUGUCUCAUAUUCUCUUCGUAGUAGCUGUCUUUAUCUUUACUUAUGCUGAAAUUGAACUUAAGAGACUAGACUAAUAUCACUCUGAACAGUGAAUAAUAGUAUUGCUAGAUUUUAUAUUAUAAUGCUACAGAAUUAGCGUUGGGUUUCUUAGUGUCUCUUCUUCAGAGUAUCUGUUCAUUACCUCGUGUAUUAUAUAAUCUAUUCACAUAAGUAGUUUAAAGAAUUCUUUCAAUGUGUGAAUUUCUACAUGUAUAUCUAUCCUCUCUGUAUUAUAGGGGAAAACAGAUCAUAACAAGACAACAAAACAAAUUCCUAGGAAAACAUGCAAUGAAAAAGACACAUAGGACCACAAUAUUAGGUGAUCUACCAUAGUUACUAUGCUUUCUCUUGUUAUUUUCAAUAGACUUGUCCACAUCAUCAUGCUUAAUACAGUUAAGCAUAGUAUUACAUAGCUAUUUUUAUAAAAACACAACUUUAAAGACAUUGUAGGACUUGAAAGCGGUUAAUAAUCAAAACCGGUAUGGAUAUCUUUUACAUCUUGUCAUCUUCAGAGUAGUUGCCACUACUCUUAGAUUUGAUACUGUCAAGCAUACAAAAUUCAAAUAAAAUUAGCCAAGGCAAAACCGCGGUCUAACAAAUCAGAUUCAAAUAAGAUCAGUCAUAGUAAGACAAUGUAAUACAGAGUUUCAGUUUAUGUUAAUAGAAAAUUAAGGAUAGUUACCAUGGUAUAACCUGCUAUUUUUGGGUUAGAUCUCUGUGCCCUCAAAUCUGAUAUGAGUGGACAGACCAAAACAAAAUAAAAUCAAACUAAACAGAGAGAUAA